UUUUAUGUUUAAGAAAUGGUGGCGGUGGGUGGUGUUUCUGGGUCCGGGGAGGUUGAAGGGGAAGGGGAAGGGAAAGUGGAGAGAGAUUUUGUGUCCAGGAGGACAUUGGUAGUUAUUACUAUUUGAUGGACUUGUACACAGAGGAUCACCAGUAGCUACUAGCUAGCUAGAGUCAUUAAUUAUGUAAUACUAUAAAAUCUUGCUCUUCACUUACCUUUAUGUGAGCGGUUUUAUAACAUUCACAACUUCCACUUUUACUAGAGAUGAUUACUCACAUUCUUACCCAUCCUUUGUACUUAAAACUCAAAAAUAAACAUAGAUAAUUCAAAAUAUACAAGUUACAAAGGAGGAGAGAAUCCUUAAAUAAGAUUAAAAGCCUGUACGUGUGGCAAUACUAAGUUUGAGAGGAAUCUAGUUCUAUUAAAAAGCUAAGUUCACUUGGCCACUUCUAUGAAAUAAGAGUAG
rnacentral:lncRNA from 1 species